CCCCUAGAUGUUCUGGGCCGCACGCGCGCUACACUGAACAGUUCAACAAGUCUUAACCUUGGCCGAUAGGUCUGGGUAAUCUUUGAACGCUGUUCGUGAUUGGGAUAGACCUUUGCAAUUAUGGGUCUUCAACGGGGAAUUCCUAGUAAACGCAAGUCAUCAGCUUGCAUUGAUUACGUCCCUGCCCUUUGUACACACCGCCCGUCGCACCUACCGAUUGAAUGGUCCGGUGAAAUCUCGGGACGGCGGCUUGGUCGCUUGCGUCCGACUGCUGAAACUUGAUUAAACCAUAUCAUUUAGAGGAAGGUGAANUCGUANCA
rnacentral:rRNA from 1 species